rfam:Camelus ferus unplaced genomic scaffold scaffold803, whole genome shotgun sequence.
GGAGGGUUGAGCUCACUGGUACAGCAUGUGCUUAGCAUGCAAGAGGUCUUGGGUUCAAUCCCCAGCACCUCCA